GUGAGGGGAGUGAAAUAGAUCCUGAAACCGUAUGCGUACAAGCAGUAGGAGCAGACUUGUUCUGUGACUGCGUACCUUUUGUAUAAUGGGUCAGCGACUUACAUUCAGUGGCGAGGUUAACCGAAUAGGGAAGCCGUAGAGAAAUCGAGUCCGAAUAGGGCGAAUAGUCGCUGGGUGUAGACCCGAAACCAAGUGAUCUAUCCAUGGCCAGGAUGAAGGUACCGUAACAGGUGCUGGAGGUCCGAACCGACUAGUGUUGCAAAACUAGCGGAUGAGCUGUGGAUAGGGGUGAAAGGCUAAACAAACUUGGAAAUAGCUGGUUCUCUCCGAAAACUAUUUAGGUAGUGCCUCAAGUAUUACCUGCGGGGGUAGAGCACUGUUUAGGCUAGGGGGUCAUGGCGACUUACCAAACCUUAGCAAACUCCGAAUACCGCAGAGUACAGCUUGGGAGACAGAGCACCGGGUGCUAACGUCCGGACUCAAGAGGGAAACAACCCAGACCGCCAGCUAAGGUCCCAAAAUAUUGCUAAGUGGGAAACGAAGUGGGAAGGCUAAAACAGUCAGGAUGUUGGCUUAGAAGCAGCCAUCAUUUAAAGAAAGCGUAAUAGCUCACUGAUCGAGUCGUCCUGCGCGGAAGAUGUAACGGGGCUAAGCCAGUUACCGAAGCUGCGGAUGCAUCGCAAGAUGCGUGGUAGGAGAGCGUUCUGUAAGCCUGUGAAGGUGGGUUGUGAAGCCUGCUGGAGGUAUCAGAAGUGCGAAUGCUGACAUGAGUAACGAUAAUGGGAGUGAAAAACUCCCACGCCGGAAGACCAAGGUUUCCUAUCCCAUGCUAAUCAGGGUAGGGUAAGUCGGCCCCUAAGGCGAGGCGGAAACGCGUAGUCGAUGGGAAACGGAUUAAUAUUUCCGUACUUGUUAUAUCAGUGAAGGGGGGACGGAGAAGGUUAUGCUAGCUUGGCGUUGGUUGUCCAAGUGAAAGUGCGUAGGGUUGAUUUUUAGGAAAAUCCGGAAAUCUACAUGCCUGAGACACGAGACGAGACACUACGGUGUUGAAGUAGCAAAUACCCUGCUUCCAGGAAAAGCCUCUAAACUUAUGAUAUAGCGAACCGUACCCCAAACCGACACAGGUGG
rnacentral:rRNA from 1 species